rnacentral:misc_RNA from 1 species
CCGAGUUUACAACUCCCAAACCCAUGUGAACAUACCUACUGUUGCUUCGGCGGGAUUGCCCCGGGCGCCUCGUGUGCCCCGGAUCAGGCGCCCGCCUAGGAACUUUAACUCUUGUUUUAUUUUGAAUCUUCUGAGUAGUUUUUACAAAUAAAUAA